AUUUUCAUAAUUUUUUCAAUAAACAAGACUUAAUAUCUUAAGCCACUUGCUUACCAAGUAAAUGUAUCUUAAUUUGAGAAUUUUAUGAUAUUUAUAUUAGAAAACAAGGCAAAAAACUAGGUAAGACAUUCGUUUUUGCAGUGUGAGGGAGAAGAACCAAGCCCUGAGGGAACGUAAUGAAAGAGCAGCUUCGGAUGACAGCGGCUCACUUUUUGUGUUGCUUGAGGGAGGAUAAAAAGCUCCAGGAACGAUUUAACCUCGACUGGUGUAGGGAAUGAAGCAUGUUGUAGAGACCUGUUCCUGAAGACCAU